AGUGAACGCUGGCGGUAGGCCUAACACAUGCAAGUCGAACGGCAGCACAGUAAGAGCUUGCUCUUACGGGUGGCGAGUGGCGGACGGGUGAGGAAUACAUCGGAAUCUACUUUUCGUGGGGGAUAACGUAGGGAAACUUACGCUAAUACCGCAUACGACCUACGGGUGAAAGCAGGGGAUCUUCGGACCUUGCGCGAAUGAAUGAGCCGAUGUCGGAUUAGCUAGUUGGCGGGGUAAAGGCCCACCAAGGCGACGAUCCGUAGCUGGUCUGAGAGGAUGAUCAGCCACACUGGAACUGAGACACGGUCCAGACUCCUACGGGAGGCAGCAGUGGGGAAUAUUGGACAAUGGGCGCAAGCCUGAUCCAGCCAUACCGCGUGGGUGAAGAAGGCCUUCGGGUUGUAAAGCCCUUUUGUUGGGAAAGAAAAGCAGCAGGUUAAUACCCCGCUGUUCUGACGGUACCCAAAGAAUAAGCACCGGCUAACUUCGUG
rnacentral:rRNA from 1 species